UGUCACGACUUGGUGGAGUGUCACGAA
rnacentral:sRNA from 1 species